rnacentral:rRNA from 1 species
UCGGGAAUAUUGCGCAAUGGAGGAAACUCUGACGCAGUGACGCCGCGUGCAGGAAGAAGGUUUUCGGAUUGUAAACUGCUUUAGACAGGGAAGAAACAAGACAGUACCUGUAGAAUAAGCUCCGGCUAACUACGUGCCAGCAGCCGCGGUAAUACGUAGGGAGCAAGCGUUAUCCGGAUUUAUUGGGUGUAAAGGGUGCGUAGACGGGAAUGCAAGUUGGUUGUGAAAUCCCUCGGCUCAACCGAGGAAUUGCAACCAAAACUAUAUUUCUUGAGUGCUGGAGAGGAAAGUGGAAUUCCUAGUGUAGCGGUGAAAUGCGUAGAUAUUAGGAGGAACACCAGUGGCGAAGGCGACUUUCUGGACAGUAACUGACGUUGAAGCACGAAAGUGUGGGGAGCAAACAGGAUUAGAUACCC